UACGGGGGGAGCAAGCGUUGUUCGGAUUUACUGGGCGUAAAGGGCGCGUAGGCGGUCAGCACAAGUCAGUUGUGAAAUCUCCGGGCUUAACUCGGAAAGGUCAACUGAUACUGUGCGACUAGAGUGCAGAAGGGGCAACUGGAAUUCUCGGUGUAGCGGUGAAAUGCGUAGAUAUCGAGAGGAACACCUGCGGCGAAGGCGGGUUGCUGGGCUGACACUGACGCUGAUGCGCGAAAGCGUGGGGAGCGAACCGG
rnacentral:rRNA from 1 species